GACGAACGCUGGCGGCGUGCUUAACACAUGCAAGUCGAACGAAGUGGCGAACGGGUGAGUAACGCGUAAUCAACCUGCCCUUCUGAGGGGGACAACAGUUGGACACGACUGCUAAUACCGCAUACUGAAGGUGGGCCUUGCGUGUGUUUGGGUAGUUGGGGGGGUAACGGGCCACAAAGGCGAGGAUCAGUAGCCGGUCUGAGAGGAUGAACGGGCACAUUGGGACUGAAACACGGCCCAGACUCCUACGGGGAGCAGCAGUGGGGAACUUUCCGAAAUGGACGGAAAGCUGGAGGAGCAACGCCGCGGGAGUGAUGACGGCCUUCGGGUUGGAAAGCUCUGUUAAUCGGGACGCGGUACCGGAAUAGAAAGCCACGGCUAACUACGUGCCAGCCGCCGCGGUAAUAC
rnacentral:rRNA from 1 species